rnacentral:rRNA from 1 species
GAUGAACGCUAGCUACAGGCUUAACACAUGCAAGUCGAGGGGUAACAGGAGGAAAGCUUGCUUUUCUUGCUGACGACCGGCGCACGGGUGAGUAACGCGUAUCCAACCUUCCCUAUAGUAGAGAAUAGCCCGGCGAAAGUCGAAUUAAUGCUCUAUGUUGUGUUUUGAGGACAUCUGACGAACACCAAAGGUUCACCGCUAUAGGAUGGGGAUGCGUCUGAUUAGCUUGUUGGCGGGGUAACGGCCCACCAAGGCGACGAUCAGUAGGGGUUCUGAGAGGAAGGUCCCCCACAUUGGUACUGAGACACGGACCAAACUCC